UACAGAGGUCUCAAGCGUUGUUCGGAUUCAUUGGGCGUAAAGGGUGCGUAGGCGGCGCGGUAAGUCGGGUGUGAAAUCUCGGAGCUUAACUCCGAAACUGCAUUCGAUACUGCCGUGCUUGAGGACUGGAGAGGAGACUGGAAUUUACGGUGUAGCGGUGAAAUGCGUAGAUAUCGUAAGGAAGACCAGUGGCGGAAGGCGGGUCGCUGGGACGGUACUGACGCUGAGACGCGAAAGCGUGGGGAGCGAACAGG
rnacentral:rRNA from 1 species